rnacentral:rRNA from 1 species
AUUGAACGCUGGCGGCAUGCCUUACACAUGCAAGUCGAACGGCAGCACGGGUGCUUGCACCUGGUGGCGAGUGGCGAACGGGUGAGUAAUACAUCGGAACAUGUCCUGUAGUGGGGGAUAGCCCGGCGAAAGCCGGAUUAAUACCGCAUACGAUCCACGGAUGAAAGCGGGGGACCUUCGGGCCUCGCGCUAUAGGGUUGGCCGAUGGCUGAUUAGCUAGUUGGUGGGGUAAAGGCCUACCAAGGCGACGAUCAGUAGCCGGUCUGAGAGGACGACCAGCCACACUGGGACUGAGACACGGCCCAGACUCCGACGGGAGGCAGCAGUGGGGAAUUUUGGACAAUGGGCGAAAGCCUGAUCCAGCAAUGCCGCGUGUGUGAAGAAGGCCUUCGGGUUGUAAAGCACUUUUGUCCGGAAAGAAAUCCUUGGCUCUAAUACAGUCGGGGGAUGACGGUACCGGAAGAAUAAGCACCGGCGAACUACGU